rnacentral:lncRNA from 1 species
AAAAAAUAGAAAAGACUGUUUGCUAUAACAAGGGGAAAAAAACAAGAGUCAACUUUAGAAUGUAUAUUGUUUGCUAACGUGGGUUAACCUCCAUCUUUAAACAUUGGUGUCUGUUCUGGUCUAAAUUAUUGCCAACAAACUGCCAGUCUUUUCUGUCUUUCAUCUUUCCUUAUUUUAAGCACUGUAGCACCCCUUAUUCUCCUUCCUCUAUAAAUCCCUCCUUCGCUCUCCAACCUCGCCAGACCCCCAAUUCCUCUAUCCUUAACAAUAUUAUCCUUCAACCACCAAAACCCAUACUCAAAAACCACUCAAAAACAGCUCUUUUUUUUUCAAUAAACUUUUAGAGAUGAUGAAAGAGAUGGGAUGCAAGCACAACUGGGGUGCAGUGGCACCUGCACGUCUCGUUUCGACAAGAAAAUCUUCAACUUGUCCAAUGCUAGAGACCAUUGUUGAAGAAGGGUGUGAAAAUGAAUCAAUUUUCACUAAGAAAAUCUUCCUUUACCUUCCCGUGGUGUUGUCCACGGUUUUCUAUUUCUUGCUAUACAAGGAGGUGACGCGUUGUGCAUGAGCCUUCUCCAACUCCAAUGCGGUUUUAUUGCAUGAACCUGUGGCUCUAGUUUGCUUUGCUUCACCGAGGCUUUGAAAGAUUUAAGAGUUUUGGGCUAAUUUCCUGAAGCAUGGAAAUCAACAAGCAAAAGAGAGAAAAAAAAAAUCCAAUGCUUAAGGAGAGAUCAAUGAUGAAUAAGUUCAUAAAGCAUUGUAAUCUGUGACAAUUAGUUGUGUUCGGUCAAUGAUUUUUGGCAAACCUUCUGUGGAAUGUUCCAAAUUUUGUAGUUAUGUUUUCAUUAAACCAAUCCAAACGUCUCCUUAGUCUAGUUUUUGAAAGUUUCCGAUUUAUAAUAUUUACUUAAAAAUUAUAUUGAAUGCCAAUAAUGGUAUCAUCACAAUUUUUUUUUUUAUGCAAAUCCAAUUGAAAACUGGGUACCAUUUUUGAAAUGGUUUAGAUAGUUGACUUCUAUAUAAUUUGUUAGCUAGGAGCGAAUCUAAAAUAUUUUUAGAGAAUAAAAUCGAAUUAUAAAAUUUUUUAGAGAUCAAAGUAUAAUUUUAUUAUAUAUUAACUUAUAUUUCAUCGUUUUUGAAGGAAUUAUUUUUUUUGAGGGGUAAAAAUGCACUUUUAUCAUAUAUAACUUUCUAAUUUCAUCGUUUAUAAAAUAAUUAAAAUGUGAGUUUUCAUUUUUUAGGGCUAAAGCCCUUGCCUGCCCUCUUGUAUUUGUCUUUGUUGUUAGUUGCAUGUUUCAUAUACAAAGCUAGUUUAACUCGCUUUGCAAGUGGAUUGUUGGACAACUUGACAUAUUUUGACAUUCGACAUUCUUUUGACUAAAAAAUCUUGUUUUCUUCUAUAUAUCUCUAAGGAUUGUAAGCAGCUAUUUAAUGGAUUAGAUCAUGUUAAAUAUCAAUCAAGUAAUGACUUUUUUUUUUUUAAGAUUUUAUGUGCAGUCAUGUUACCUUAAAUAAAGAUACUUAGUUCUUAUAGAAGCCUAUUUCUUAAAGAUCUUUGCCUAUUUGAUUUCUUAUUAAAGAUUUAUUUAAGCACAAUUCAAAUAAAUACUAAUUCAUACUGAUUGAAGAAUUGCAAGCCAAUAAUAUUUAUUUAACAAAGGUUGUUUGUUUCAGUAUAGCACUGAGAAAGCACUUAUCCAUUCAUUGUUAGGACCUUGUUCUUAGUGUAUAAUUUGUAUACAAACUGUGUUGAUGUGCUACUCGUAGCUAAGCUAAUUUCAAAGAAUUGCAAGCCAAUAAUAUUUAUUUAACUACGUAAUCAACUUUUAUGUUUAUUCUUUCAAUUGUUCAUCCAAUUACCGUGGUGGUUCACCCCAUGAGGGGUACGAAGAGCCACUAGAGUGAGGGCAAUUCACACCGUGGAUGGUGUGAAAAUUCACAAAGAUCGAUAGUUUGAGAGAGUCACUAUAACAAAUUUACUUAUUAGUGGUGCCUAAAAUAUUGUUAUUGCAAAUUAUAUUUAUGUUAUUAUUUAUAUUUUGUGACACAAAAUAGUUGUAUUCAUUACAUUAGGUGUGACAGUAAAAAUUAAUAGUGACAAUGUAUAAUUUUUCAUCAUGUAUUAUUGAGAAUAUGAUGACGAUAACUUAUAAAUCAUCUAAUAGUUAGUAUUUAGUGACAACUUGUGGCAUUAUCAAAUUAUAUAAAAAAUCGUCAUUAAUCAUUUAUAUUGUAGUCAAUGAUGAAAUAACGGAAGCUAUAUUGUAAGAGUGUUAAAAUGACAUAUUAUAUCAUCAUCUAAUAUAAUAAAAUCAUGACAUUAAUGAUGAUAACAUGAAACAUUACUACUUAAUAAGUAUUUAGUGAGAGAUAAUUUUGUCACUAAUAUAUAUACUAUACAUGAGUUCGUCAUUUAUUAUUUUAUUAUAUUAUCACUUAAUAUAAUAAAAUAAUAGCAAUCAAAUAAUUAAUAUCAUUAUACAUAACAUUAUCUUUUGUGCAUAAGUUAAACAAUAAAAUGGUCACACUCGAGAAUUAUGAACAAACAUUUUAUGGUUUAAAUCAUUUCUCAUCACAUAAGCAUACAUUAUUUUUACUUGGUAGUAACCUUUAUUAUACGUAUUACAUUAAAUUAAUUUAUGUACUAUUAAAUGGAUUAAUUUAACCUUUAAAUUAUUAAAAAAUUAAAAAAUAUAAAUUUUAAUAAAUUUAACAAUUAGUAUUUUAAAAAUGUCAUAUAUCGUGUAAAGCUAUCCAAUUUGAUGUUAUAUGUAGUGUUAAUGUUGUCUUAUUUUGAAGAUAUGACGUUGUUCAAUGUGUAUAAACAGGGUAGUCCAUUCUGUGCAUAAUGCGGUGAUCCGAAUAAAUAUAUUAAAAUGUUGCUCGAAAUUGCAUGUUUAAUUAUUGUCUGAAAAUAAAUAUUAAAUUUACUAAGAAUAAAUAUUAAGUUGUUGCUAAGAAGUGCGCAACUAGAAAACUAUCGAAUUAAUGCAUUAAAUUGUUAAUCAAAUUAUAUACUUGGCUAUCGUUUGAAUCAAUAUCUUAAUGGUUAGAAUAUGUAUUUUUAUAUCGUUCGAAUCUUGUUUAUUGUUUCAAGUUGAAAUUUACAAAAAUUUUGUUUGGAGUUAAAAGUGCAAAUAAAAAUAAACAAGUUUCAUUUUUUUUAAAUAAUUAAUAGUAACUCUUUUAAAAUUUAGCUUUCGUUAAUUCCUUUAUUAAUAGUUUAAGGACUAAAAUGGUAUGUAUAAUAGUACGAGGUCCUUCUCUGCCAUCUUUUCAAAUAACAACCUUGCAUCUUCGAGACUACCAAGUUUUGAGUACAUUGAAAACAGAGCGGUAUUCACAGAUAAAUCCUUACUUAAAUCACUAACUAGAACCCAACAAUGAACAGCUUUUCUUGCACUCAAUGAAUGCAAAUCAACACCUGCCCUCAACAAAUUAAUAAUAGAGACCACACUUCCUCUUUGAGAAGCUUCAAAAUCAAAAUUUUCCAACCCAAAUCCUUAACAGGCUUUUCAUCAACCACCUUAUGCUCAAACUCACCACCUCCCCAUUAAAACUCCACCAAAGCAUCACCAACAACCUCAAAUGAACCCAAUAUUGCCAACUGCACAUGAAUGAUGAAGCAUGGACACGGACAUAUAAUACGAGUACGACACGAUACGGUGAUAUAGUAAUUUUUAAAAAGUGAGGACAUGGGUACUGUAAGAUGCAACAAUAAAAAAAUAUUUUUAUUAUUUAUAUAUAUAUUUUAUGUUAAAAUAUAUUAUAUCAAUAAAUGCUACAUUUUUUAGAAAAAAAUAUAUUUUAUUUAACUUGACUUAUAAACAAUAUCUUAUUUUAUUUAACAAGAAUUUGGAUCACACAUACAUUUACUAAUUUAUAAUUAAAAUUAAUUUUUAAAAAAUAUUUUAAAUCUAAUUUAUAUGGGUCUCAUAUAUUUUUAUUAUACUUAAUUUCACUAUUUUUAUAUUAUUAUAAUUUGUUUUUACUUUCUUACCCCAUUAUAAAUUUAUAACUAUAUAAUACAUUAACUAUUUUCUUUUUCUUUUUUAAGUAGACACUCACAUACCCUUUAUUUUCUUCCCCAUUUACCCCUUUUUUCCCUUCUCAUUUACCGUCCUUACCUUUGCCUCAGUAUUUUAUUCUCUGCAAAAAAACCCCAGCAUCAUCAUCUUCGUAUAAGCGAAUCGACUCCAAAGAAGACAGGUAUGUUAAAAAUCCCAUAAAUUAUCACGAUUAAAUGUUAAAGUUCUUUUUAUCUGUUUACUAAAGUUCUAUUCUUGUAUAUGGGUUUUUUUUCUUCUGUUUCUGAUUCAGGCCAAAGUAAAGUCCGGGAGUGUCCUUUUUUGACACGCUUCAAGGUGUGUCUGGUACGUAUCCGGCCGUGUCGGCGGCUUGUCCGUGUCGGACCCCAGUACGACACUGGUGCGAGUACGAGGGGAUUUUCCCCGCGUCGGUGCUUCCUAGCCCAUGAACCAUUUUCCCGCACUCGGCUUCCGGCUAACAAGAACAAGCUGUUAGAACUAAAGAGAGGCUGAGGAGGCCAACGUUGGCAUAGGAAUCGAUAAGAUCAGAGGAAACUGUUGGGUUCUGGUGGAGGUCAUGGAGUAUGAACCUUGCAUGGAUUUGUGGAGACUGGAGAUGACGUUUCUGGGAUAGGUUUAACAGAAGAGGAGAAGAUGCUGCCGAAAUGCCUUGUUUGGGUGAUCAGAAUGUGUGGUAAUUGGAGAGGGAAAGAACUAAGAAAAUAUAUUGAUCAUUGAGCGGAAAGCAUCUUUAACUACAGAGCAUUUGGCGGCUUUAUGGCCAGUGGUGCAGGCCCGUGCACGUUAAAAUUGAAAAUUUUUUAUUUAGUUGUUUUAAAAUUUUAAGUUAAUAAAAAUAAAAUCACAUUCUAACCCCUAAAAAUAAUAAAAAUUUUGAUUCCUAACAAAAUUUUCUUUACUUCCCCAUGCAUAGCAAUCUCAUUAACAUGCUCCUAACACCUUCAAUCAUAUUUUAUGUUGCAUAGAAUAUUUUUAAAAUCAUUUUUUUUAUUUUUAUUUUCACCCUCCCUCCCUUUAUUUAUAGAUAAACUACCUUAGAAUUACUAAAUUAUUAAUAAGUCUAUAUUUCAGUUACUCGACUUAAAAAAAUUAUAAAAUGAUCACUAAACCAUUCGGAAGCUUUUUUUUUAAGUCACGGAUCUAUUCAAAAAAAUUUAUUUAAGUCACAAGGCAAUUAAGUUUUUUUUUCAAAAGUCUUACUAAUGAGCUCCAAGUAAUAAUUUAAUGAUCAGUACCCAUUGACUAGUAAAAUAACAUAUAUUAAAUCCAAUUGAUUGAUAGCUAGUGUUGAACAUAAAAAAAUAAAGUUGUGUGGAUUUUAAUUCACAGAUUCAUGACGUUUAAAAUUGUUUCAUGAAAAAAAACUAAAUUGUAGAAGAGAAGAGGAAAGAUAAGUUUCGAUUGGUGUAGAAAGUGUGAACAGAGAAUGUCAUAUGGCAAUGGUUUUAACAGUCCAAUAAGUUAAAUAAGAACUUUUGAAUAGUUUAGUGAUCAUUUUGUAAAUCUUAAAGUCGAGUGAGCAAAACACAAAUUUACUAAUAGUUUAAUGACUUUGAUUAUAGUUUAACCUUAUUUAUAUUAGUUUUCGGUUGCUUGGUACUGUCGCUUUUUCCCUCGUGAAUGUUGUAAAACACAAUGUUUGAUUGAAAAGAUUCCAGUUCCCUCAUCAAAGCAAUCUUUCACCUUCCGCUUCAAUUAAAGAAUAAUGAAAAUUUUCGCUUUAAUUUUCGUAUAAUUCAAUCUUCCCUCCUUAUUUUCAAGCUCAUUCUUUUGGGCUUAUCGACAUUGCCGCCACUUCUCUCUAGUUGACUCUCUCGGUACGAUUUUUCUGUUUUCCUGUUUGGUUAACGAGAAAAUGCAAGGGAAAGGAAUGUGAAAACAAGUUAAUGUUUUUUUUUUUUUUUUUUACUACUUAGCUCUUGCACAAAACGUUGGUGCAAAUGAAUUCCUACUAAAUAAAGCAUAAUGUAGUUUAAAAGAUGAGUUUUCUUAUUUAUUCAUUUCUCCUUUACUGUGGAGUUUUCGAUUUUGAGGAUUGGUGAAGCUAUCUGAUUACCAAUUGUAACUUUAUGCUCCGUUUGGUUGCUUGGAAAUUGUCGUAUAAGAGAUAUUAGAUUAGGGGCUAAGAUAAUAUUAAUAUCUAUUUGAGUUUAAUUAGAGAAAUACUUAAGGGUUGGUGACUUAGGCAAGGAAACUUAAAAAAAGAAGGAAAAUAGAAUGUGGGAAUUAACAUUUAAUACUGGUAUAAGGUAUGUGCUCAGAGAAAGGUUGCUACUGAAAUGAACAAUCAAGAUGAUGAAUGUUGAAUAUAGUUCAAAUUACCUUUUGUCUAAUACUGAGUUUUAAUGAAAGUGCAUAUAACGCAAUUAGAAACGAGGUUUCUGAAUUUUGGUUUGGCUUGUGAAAGGUUCGUGCUUUACUGGUUUUAUUGUUUUGAUGCCAUAUAGGAAUUCAAACUUCAAAGGUUGCUGGAAGGAUUGUGGUAGUAGAGCAUCACCGUGGAGAUUCGGAAAUGACAGACACCGAUAGAGGAACACAAAGAGACAGGGAUUCAGGUUUUCUGGCUAUCUUAACUCUUGUUUUCUUUUUGGUAUUUGAAGCUUUUACUUUUAAAAUGUGUUGCUUUUGGUUUUAUUUAAAUCAUACAUACACACAUGCAUAGAGAGAGAGAGAGAGAGAGAUCUGUACUUGCACAUGCCUGCCUAUCUUUCAUUUAUCUGCUCAAGCUUCAAGUACAUAUGAAUAAAUAUAAACAUAGCUGAUACAAAAUACUAGUUCAUUUGUUCGUUGCAUAUAUCUACUACCUGCAUUGUUAGCAAUUGUCUACAAAUAGUUGCAAGCAGAAGAAAGAAAUGUGACGAUCCAAGUGGCCGUCUCUGUAUGUGCACUACCGGCUCUCCUCGCAUACUUGAGUUUCUUCUUGGGGAGUUGUGGCAGUGAGAGCAGCAGGUGGAAUGAUGGUGUGUCCUUUGAAUUGUUUCUCCAUAAUUGCCAUUAAGCUAAAAAUUAUAGUCAUAUGCUAGACUAUUCGCGGUUGAAGCACAUCUGAAAUGCGUUAUGCAUCGAUUGUUAUGCUAAUUGCGGAGGGUUGAAUGAUAUGUAGAUGAGAAUAAGUCUUGGUCUGCCUUGCAUUACAACUUUGACUUCGUAUAAGAAGUACUCCAUUUUAUGAAGUGGUAGCAAAGUUGUCCACAAUCAUCUUUUUAUGGUUGUUUUUCAGCUUUUUACCUGUUUAGUCCACCAAGCAAUCAAAUCUUUCUCUCAUUAAUAUUUUGUUGGUCUUGUUAUGGUUGUUGUGUAGCUUUUUACCUGUUCACUCAGCAGAAUCUUCCAGCUUGCAAACCUGUCCUUACUCCAGAAUGGGUGAGAGCACGACUACACUCUUUAGCAUCCAAAAAUUUCCUUAAUCUCUGGUUGAUAUUUUAACUUGCAUUUUAUGAUGUUAACUUUUAUUAAUGUUGAUUAUUACCUAGCUUUAUUUAUGGGUUUCAUCUUCAUUUCUGCAGGUCUUUAUGACAUUUUUGUUUAUAGGUUUCAUUUUCAUUCCUGUUGGCCUUGUUACUCUGCGAGCUUCUCAUAGUGUAAUUGCCCAUUCUUUAGCUCUUGUUAUCUCAUCUGGCUAUAUAUUAUACUUCUUUUCUUGGUUGUUAGGUUGUUGAAAUCGUGGAACGAUAUGAUAUAGGAUGUGUACCUGAGCCAUUUAGAAUCAAUAAGGUUUCAUAUAUCCAGGAUGACUCAAUUCCCAAGAAUUGUUCUCUUUCUUUCAAGGUGAUACUUCGUUUCUACAUUGACUAUACCUUCACCGUGAAAAUUGAAAAUCUAGCCAAGCUAUACCUUCAACCAUUCAUUCUAUGUGAUCACAAUGCAUUAUACUGCAGCACAGACUAUCAUGAAUUGAGUGUCUAGUUCCAGGAAAAGUGAAAUUUUGUGUCACUGGACUUUGAAAUUUACUGGGAACUAAAACCAGUUUAUCUGUGGAAGUGGAGUCCGUUGGAAAGGAAGGGAAAUUGAACUAUUACAUAGUAUUUCUUUCUGUUCCAUAUACUUUGUGAGUCGAUUUUUUUUUGUGGAAUGCUGAGAGAAACAUCUAAUCAGUGCUAGCAUAGGUGCAUUAUUCUUAGUUGAAUACAGGUCGUUAUUAAGCUGCAUAUGACUGCCUUUUUUAACCCUUAUUUUGCAUCAAACAUUUCUUUGUAGGUGCCCAAGUACAUGAAAGCUCCAAUUUACAUUUACUAUCAGCUUGAUAAUUAUUAUCAGAACCACCGUCGGUGCGAAUCUUUCACUUGAUGGGUUUAAAGCUUUGGCUUGAUCAACAUUGAUAAAUUGAUCCAUUUCCCUCAUAUUGUUUAAAUGAACUAUAUAGGGGCUUGUUGCCUUUUACUUUUGACCUUAAAAUAACUAUUCAUGGUUGAGGCCCUGCUUACUAUUUUUCCCUUUUUACCUUAGUUGUUUACUUAUUUGUUAUUUACAAGUUAUUCAAAUAUCAAAUUUUUCUUGCUUUAAUCUUCAUUAUUUUUCCUGCUUGCACUUCACUGGUCUAAACAUUUGCCAGGUAUGUCAAAAGCAGAAGCGACAAGCAACUCUUACACGGACAGAACCAACAUGGCAUAAGUUCAUGUCAACCUGUAGAGGUCAACAAUGAUCGGCCUAUCAUUCCUUGUGGGUUAAUAGCAUGGAGUUUAUUUAAUGAUACAUUUACAUUUAUCCGUAAUAGAGCAGAACUGAAGGUCAACAGGAAGAACAUUGCCUGGAAGAGUGACCGGGAACACAAAUUUGGAAAGAAUGUAUAUCCUUUCAAUUUCCAAAAUGGUACACUGAUUGGUGGUGGGAAGCUGAACCCAAGAAUUCCUGUAAGUAUUAGCUCUUUCCUGAGACAUUCUACUGUGGUCUUGCUGAUUCUUUUGUCUAGCCCGAAAUUAUUUAUUCAGUACUUGACAUACCUGUUCGAAUACAACCAACUAGCAAAUAUCUUUCAAUAACAAGCUUUCUUCUUUUCAUUAUGUUAAUACAGUAUUUGGUUUGAGUAAAGUAUUCAGCUAGAGCUUGAGAUAUGAAAUAAUCUUUUGGCUUUUGGUUUUCUUGCACUUUCUUUUGAUGCCGGUGAAUGAAUGCAUUGUAGCUAAGCGAUCAGGAGGAUCUUAUUGUAUGGAUGCGUACAUCUGCCCUCCCUAGCUUCCGAAAAUUGUAUGGGAGAAUCGAAAAGGAUUUAGAUGUGGAUGAUGUUGUAGUGGUCCACCUAAUGAACAACUACAACACAUACAGUUUUGGUGGUAAAAAGAAGCUAGUUCUUUCAACAACAAGCUGGUUGGGGGGAAAGAAUGACUUCCUUGGUCUUGCAUAUGUCUUUAUCGGUUCUUCUUCGGUUACCAUUGCCGUUGUUUUCACGCUUCUACAUCUACUGUCUCAAAGGUAAAAGCUCAACAAGUAAUAAACAAAAACUUCGAAUUCUCUACACUUUCAUCCAAGUACUAUUAUCUAGCAUUCUUUUUCCUUUUACCAAAUGUUAAAGAGCUGCCAAUUCGACUCCCUGGACAUUCCCUUGUUUUCAGAUUUCUGGAAAUGUUGUAUGACACGUCGCUUUUAUAACGUGCAGGCAUUAAGAAGACACGUGUUAUUUACCAUGGAACUGAACAAACCAUUCAGGGUGAUUCGACUGAUGAAAUUCCGACUGACAUUCUAAACUCCAAAACAGCUAGUGAUUUCAAACCAUAAUCCGGUAAAUCAUUUAGGCUAUUCCCUUUCUGAAUUAGUUACAAAGAAGCUUGUUAUACAUGUUAAUAGAUCAAUAAAAGGAAUAUUUUCAGGACAGUGCUAUAUGUUGUGACAAGUGUAUGCAAAAUAGAUAACUCUCUUUGAAUCUUCCUUUACAUUGAAUACAAUAACGUUAAAAUACCCCUUUUUUUCCGGUAGAAGAGGACUCAGGUUAAGUUGACAAUGGCCUUAUCCAAUAACAAGACUGCGUUUCAUUUGUCUGACUUAUUAUUUUAUUAUCAUCUUUACUUGUAUAUAGCCCUUGAAAGAGACCAGAAUUAACCACAUUGUCUAGACACGUGCAGUUGUAUACACUGCAUUUGCCUCCGUCCGAAUUUGUUUGUCUCAUUCAGACCUCGUUGAAACUUGAUAAGACUUGUCAGUCGUACCGCGUUGAAACUUGAAAAGACUGUUUUAUGACUUUUUCGGUCGAAAUUUGCUAGGCCAGGCCAAGGCAAUGUGGACCGUAGCUAGAACAAAUUUGUUGACGGUUUAUUGAUAGGUAAUAAUCUUUAUAGGCGAAAUGCUUUGCUCAAUAUCUAUGAACUCUUAAGUAUAAACCAUAUAUUUUUACUUUCAAAUUCCAUUUUUUAUCUUCUUAAUCCUUAUCCAUAAGUUAUAGGCCGAAAUUUGGUUGAUUGGUCUUCACAAUCACAGGGGGAUGGACCAGUGAUCUUAUGGCGGAAGUAAGGCAUCCAAUUGCCUCUUCCAUAGGGAAUUUUCCAUGUCUUGUCUUGUCUGGUCAUAAUAAGUAAUUUUUAUAUACAUUUAUAUUAACUUUGGUGAGAAAAAUCCAAUCUGUGUCUCGUGAUUAUUAGAAGUGCCAAGUACGAAAUGAUAUUUUUUCAAUGUCUUUUGGAAAAUUAGAAAAGACCGUUUGCUAUAACAAGAGGAAAAAAACAAGGGUCAACUUUAGAAUGUACAUGGUUUGCUAACGUGGGUUAAUCUCCAUCUUUUAACAUUGGUGUCUGUUCUGGUCUAAAUUAUUGCCAACAAACUGCCAGUCUUUUUUUUGCUCGUUGAUCUUUCCUUAUUUUAAGCACCGUAACACCCCUUAACCCCCUUCCCUAUAUAAUCCAUACUUUGAUCUCCAAGCUCUCCACACCUCAAUUCCUCGAAUAUCAGUAUCCUCUUGAGAUCCUUAACAAUAUUCUCCUUCAACCAUCAAAGCCCAUAGUCAAAAACAGCUUUUCUUUUUUAAUCAAGUUUUAUAGAUGAUGAAAGAGAAGGGAUGCAAGCAAAACCGGGGUGCAGUGGCACCUGCACGCCACGUUUCGAUAAGAAAAUCUUCAACUUAUCCGAGGCUAGAGACCAUUGUUGAAGAAGAGUGUGAAAAUGAGUCAGUUUUCACUAAGAAAAUCUUCCUUUACCUUCCCGUGGUGUUGUCCACAGUUUUCUAUUUCUUGCUAUGAACCUUCUCCAAUGCGUAUUCGUUGCUUGAAAAAUGGAGUUUCAGACCCUGUGCCUCUAAUUUGCUUUGCUUCUCUGAGGCUUCGAAAGGUUUAAGAAUUUUGAGCUCAUUCCUAGAAGCGUUGAAAUCGACAAGCAAAAAAGAUGAAAAGAAUUCAAUGAUUAUGGAAGGGGAGAUAUAUGAUGAAUAAGUUCUAUAGAGCAUUGUAAUAUGUGAGAAUGGGUAGUGUUUGGUCAAUGAUUUUGGGUAAACUUUCUCUGGAAUGUUCCAAAUUUGUAAAUUAUGUUUUCAUUUAACCAAUACAAAUCUCUCAUGGUCUCUAGUUUUUUGAGACUUUCUGAUUUAUAAGCCUUUAUUUUUGACAUUUUGGCCAUUAAUAAUAUUUACUUAAAAGUAUAUUAAAUGCCAAUAAUAGUUUUGUUCCACAAUUUUGGUACAAAUUAGGAUUGAAUCAAGUUUCACUCUAGUUUAUUGAAUGC